AUGCAAGUCGAGCGGAUGACGGGAGCUUGCUCCUUGAUUCAGCGGCGGACGGGUGAGUAAUGCCUAGGAAUCUGCCUGGUAGUGGGGGACAACGUUUCGAAAGGAACGCUAAUACCGCAUACGUCCUACGGGAGAAAGCGGGGGACCUUCGGGCCUUGCGCUAUCAGAUGAGCCUAGGUCGGAUUAGCUAGUUGGUGGGGUAAUGGCUCACCAAGGCGACGAUCCGUAACUGGUCUGAGAGGAUGAUCAGCCACACUGGAACUGAGACACGGUCCAGACUCCUACGGGAGGCAGCAGUGGGGAAUAUUGGACAAUGGGCGAAAGCCUGAUCCAGCCAUGCCGCGUGUGUGAAGAAGGUCUUCGGAUUGUAAAGCACUUUAAGUUGGGAGGAAGGGCAGUAAGCUAAUACCUUGCUGUUUUGACGUUACCGACAGAAUAAGCACCGGCUAACUCUGUG
rnacentral:rRNA from 1 species